rnacentral:rRNA from 1 species
GACAGAGGUGCCGAGCGUUAGGCGGAAUCACUGGGCUUAAAAGCGUGUGUAGGCGGAUCUGUAAGUACCUUGUGAAAAUCCCACGGCUCAACCGUGGAAACUGCUUGGUAUACUGCGGGGUCUUGAGCCACCUAGGGGCAAGUGGAACAAAACGGUGGGAGCGGUGAAAAUGCGUAGAUAUCGUUUGGAACGCCAAUGGUGAAAAACAACUUGCUGGGGGGUGUGCUGACGCUGAGACACGAAAAGCCAGGGGGAGCAAAACGGGG